rnacentral:tRNA from 1 species
GCGGGCUUGGCCGAGGCGGUGGACGCGUUCUGCGAGAGCGUGGGCUUUUCCCCGGCGCAGACCCGCCGGGUGUUCGAGGCGGCGCGCGCGCA